GGCUGAAUGGUCUAGUGGUAUGAUUCUCGCUUUGGGUCACUGCCUAACAUGCGAGAGGUCCCGUGUUCGAUCCACGGUUCAGCCC